rnacentral:misc_RNA from 1 species
CGAUCAACCCGUUGAUUUUCCGCCACCGCCGCCGCCGCUCAACAACAACAAUAAUAAUAAUAAUAAUAAUAAUAAUAAUAAUAAUAAUAGUAAUAACAGUAGUAAUAGUAAUAAUAGUAAUAAAUAAAUUAAAUUAGUCCGAUUAGCGUUUCCGUGUGCCAAACCGCGGUGGUUUUCCGUGACAGCAACACUCGACUGGACGCGCGCGCGCAACGGUCGUUCGAGCGUCCCCGAAUUCCGAUCGGUGUACGUACGCUUAUAACAUUAUAUCGUUUUCCGUUAAUUGAAUGUCGUCGGUCGCCGUGUGUCUAUGAUGCCCACGAGAACCGAAAACGGCAUCGCCAGACAUCAAAUACUGGCCGCCGUGGACGUCAGCGUCGGAGAACGCCAAUGGAACUUGGUGCCAUCCUGAUCUAUUAGGCGGACUCGUUCGCCAGGUCCACCGCAACAAAAGUGCUUCCCGAGUGUUUUGUUAAUUCGUUAAAUAGUAUUAAUUAUUAUAUGAUAUAUUGCUCUUUUUUUUUUUUUCAAUUUUUACCUACCGUCGGUACCUAGUUGUGUUAUAUUAUGUAUUUGUUUUGUUUCUGUGCUUAGACUUAUGUGAUUUGUAAUACAAAUAUUAGCGAGGUUGUGAAUUUUUAGUUAGUAUGUGUUCAGUAAAGUGAUAUGUCGGUGCGUUUGUCCAGCGGGUGUCUGCCCGCUAAUGGUGAGAAACCACCUCCACCCUCAUCAGAUAAGAUCGAUUCCAAUGGUCAACAGAACAAUUUGCAGGACCAUCAGCAACUACAGCAACAACCUAGAAGUAAUAGUAUGGACUAUUUGAACUUCGAGGAGAAAAGACAAAUAAUUGCGUCUUCCUUGUCAUUAACGGAUUUCUUACACACUAGUGGUACAGCNACUACUCCAACAUCACCAACUACUGGAAAGUUUAUAAUUGCCAAGAAGCAAAAUGGUACAGCACUUCGAACUAAUAGCUUAGGAUCAGGAACACGUACCAGUCCAUUACAAUUGGAUCGAAAACAACCAAGCAAGUUUUCUGCACUAGGUAAACUUUUCAAACCAUGGAAAUGGAAACGAAAAAAGAAAUCGGAAAAAUUUGAAACAACAUCUAGAAAUUUGGAAAGGAAGAUCUCAGUGCGAGCAAAUCGAGAUGAAUUAAUCCAGAAAGGAAUCCUGUUUUUAGAUAGUCCAAUGGCUCAAACACAUACGAUCUCUGAAUCAGAUAAUUCACCCCAACUAAAUCAAACUUCAAGUGGAACAACUACUUGUGUUACCGUCACUUCUAAUAUUGGUUCGUCAAUGCUUUUCCAACAGCAACAAAAUAGAUAUUCUAACCAAUUUAUGAAUGACUUGAACAAAGAUAACAAGACUGAAACGGUGCAAGGCCAUAAUGAGCCAGUAGAAUUAAGUUUUGAGCAGCAGCAGCAACAACAGCAACAGCAGCAGCAACAACAACAACAACAACAACAGCAGCAGCAGCAGCAGCAGCAGCAGCAUGUAGCUGAACAGCCAAGUAGCUCAAAACCUGAACGACCUAACUCACUCACGGGUCCUGGUGGCACGCUCACCAGACGCCUGUUCUGUUACCAUGCACCUAAUCAGUCCCUAUUGGUAGGAUCAGGUCAGUCACCUACCAGGCCUCCAAAUUCACUAUUGCCAUCAGGUUGUGAAUCUCCAAAGUUAAAUUGUGAUAGGACAUCUUCAAUGAUUAUGCCUGGACAAAAUAUGUCUCAGAUGGCCAGUGGUGGUAGGACAGGCUAUUAUCAUUCCAGCCCUAGGAUGAUGUAUAACAAUCAUUCUGGGCAUUCAUUAAUGCUUUCUGAUUUGCCUGAACCCCCUAUUCCGGUGUCUGAAGUUGGUCCAAUACCUCCACCACCCAUGUUCAGCUCACCAGCUCAACAACCAUACUUAUACCAACAUAACAAUCGUCAAAAUCAUCGUGCCAAUGAUAACAAUGAUGAGGAAAUGGAAAUGGCCACCAAUGAAGAUGAUUAUGAUGAUGAUGACUAUGAUGAAGAAGAAGAAGAUGAUGAUGACGAUGAAGAAGAAGAAGUAGAUGAUGAUGACGAUUCUAAUGGAUUUAGAAUAAGAAGUCGUCACAAUUUUCCUAGUCAUAUAGAGCAGAUUCCUGCUAAAGAACCUGUUUUUAAUGCACAGCCUCUCAAGUCAGCACUGAAAAAACCAUCAACACCUAAUCAAAAUCAAGAAUCAUCACAGUUGCUCAACAGAAGGGCUCCACUUAAGCCUAGGAUACGUUUUUGUGGUGCUAAUCGUCCAGUAGUGUUUGGAAUUUCACUACCUUGUUCAUUACAAGAGAAUAAAGAAAAUGCUAGGCCUAAUGAGUCUAGUGAUGAUGACAGUUCUGGCGAUGGACCUAUAUUGUACAGAGAUGAUAAUUUAGACAAUCGAUUGGCCGAAAAAAUUGCAAGGAAAGAUAGCCUUGCUAUUAAAUUAGCUUUGCGUCCCAAUCGACAAGAGCUCAUUAAUCGUAAUAUUCUUCAAGUUCAGAGUGAUAAAGAGCGACAAGAAACAAAAGAAGUUAUUGGUGCUCGGCUUAUUAGACGUUUGAGCAUGCGGCCAACACAGGAAGAACUUGAAGAAAGAAAUAUCUUAAAAAAACAAACAGCUGCAGAAGAAAAAAAAUUAAAAGAAGAAAAGAAACGCAUGUUGUUAAGAAAAUUAAGUUUUAGGCCAACAGUUGACGAAUUGAAAGAGAAAAAAAUUAUUCGAUUCAAUGAUUACAUAGAAGUGACACAGGCACACGACUAUGAUCGGCGGGCCGACAAACCAUGGACUCGGUUGACAACCAAAGAUAAAGCAGCUAUACGAAAAGAACUAAAUGAAUUUAAAAGCUCAGAAAUGGAAGUCCAUCAAGAAAGUAAACAUCUUACCAGAUUCCAUCGACCAUGAAUUUCACAGAUAUUCUCGCAUGUCAUAAAGCAAAAUUUAUAUAUAUAUUAAAAAGCAAGAAAAAAUAUUAGUCAGAAUUGGCUGGCUAUUAAUUAUUCUUGUUUAGAUAAAAAGCGAUAGAAAAAAAUAUAAAUUAUGAUAAAUACUAGAAUAUCUCAUAUUGACGAGAAGCUUUUGUCCGUCCACAUAGUGAUUAUGUGCAAUAUUUAUUAUGCAAUAACUCCAAUAUAUAUUACACAUAUAUAUAAAAAAUAA